CUAGGUUCCUGCCUUGAUUCUUCCCUGACUUCCCUUCAUGAUGGACUGUGACCAGGAUGUGUAAGUCAAAUAAAUCCUUUCCUCUCCAAAUUGAUCUUGGCCAUGAUGUUAUAUCACAGCAAUAAAAACGUAGUUAAGACAAGAGAUCCUAAGAGAAAGACCCUGGUUAGAAGCUCCUGUGGGCUUGCCAGGGGGAAGACAGAAAAAUGAUGCAACUUGACUUGCCUGAGACAGGGCUCUUUUGUUUCUCCUGUCCAUUCUCUCUCAUCCAGAUACACCCGAGGCCUUACCAAGUAUUAAGCUGCGACUCUACACCCAGAGUUACCUAGCUUAUAUAUAGAAAGUCUAUAGGCCCUUAGGGGGUGCUGUAAAGGGGAGCCCCUUCAGAAACAGUACUGAAACCCCUGAGCCUUCGGACAAAGCGUGCAAUUAAGAGCUGAAGACCAAAAUGCAAGCUGAGUCAUUAGGUGCCUGUAUGACCAUGGGCAAGUUCCUUAGCUCCAAGUUUUAAUGUCCUCAUUUGUAAGAACAGUGCCCUUUUGGUUUGGGGAGGAGGGACUCUUCUGCCUAUGACAGAUCAGUUACAAUGAGGAAUUAACUAAUGUAUUCUAACCACCAGAAGCCAAGUAAGUGAGGUGACUGUCCAACGGGUUGUUGUUCUCCACACCUCGGGGACCAUUCAGGCUUCUUAGUGGCAUACCAACAAUCAGACACAAUCCAGCGCAGAGCCACGCCACAUCUGGGGAAGGACAGGCAAAGAACAGGAACUUGCCAGCUGGUCCACAGGUCCGGGUGGGGUUGGGGGCUGGUGUCCUAGGGUGUCUCUAUGCCUCCUGACUUCAGGCUCCACUCUCAGAUAAAUAGUGUCUAGGGUCACUCAUAGAUGACCUAGGGACUGGAGGACGUGGGUGGACUUUAAAGACAAAGCCUUAAAAAAAGGCUGGUGUUUUAGUGUGGGUAAAAUGAGGCAGGAAGAUGACGAUUUUUAAAACUUAGAUCUUUCUAGUUUGGCCAAUAGAGACUACAAGGAGAUUGGCCUGACAGGGAAGAGGCCUGCAGGUGGCUGGGGGAGAAGCAGGGCAGAGGGGAUGUCCUGAGGGAAUGACGUGAAUUUGGCUCUUAAAUAGCUAAUUUGAUUUAUUCUGAGCUGCUCCAAAGGAUGGUACCAGGAUCAGAAUGAGCAGACAGGAGGGCGCUGACACCCCGCUCUUCCCCAGCAUCACUCGAAGUACCCCAAGAGGAUUCCAGCAUUUAGUCUCCUGCAGCUCCCAUAAAGCGUGGAAGUAUCCUAUGGGCAAGGACUGUGUCUGUCAAGGUCACAGACUUGAGCACUCAUUUGGUUCUGGAGAAUGUAGGCUUGAAGUGAAUGAACGCACGUAAACAUAAUGCCUGGAGCUGAUCUCAUUAAGAAUUCUGAGAAAUGUGAAAAGUCCACUUCCUCUCCAUUUUCUGUUUCCUCGGUGGGAUUUGCUUUCCAACCUGCGCAAAUGAAGACUUCUCUGGAGGAUGGAGGUCUCCCUAUUUCCCAACAUACAUGCGGGCCCAGAUGAAGUGCUUUCUGGAAUUUGCUACCCUGUGAACAGCGUGGCCACGUGGACUGUCUCCAGUGUAAUUACUCCUGCUGCAUCAUCAGUACUCACUUUAUUCUGCUUGCAAUUCAAGUCAAGCAUAUCUCAAGAAAAGCUAACUGCGACCUGCGAUGGUCUGGCCUGUGCACUGCACAGUCAGUACCCACCUUCCUGUGACGAAGCUGAAGCAGAGAUUUCCCUGGCAGUCCCGAGCAGGAAGAGACAAGAGAAAACUGCUCCCGCAGUGGCCUCUGACUUCCAGCACCCGCUGGAAACCACCAGCUGCUCAGGGAGCUCCAGGCCUCCAGAAGCAUCAUGAGCCCACUAAGCAUCUAGCUUCAUGCAUCGGCAGUUAGUUCUUGCUUUCUCCAGGAUAGACGGUUGGAUGGUUUCUACUUUCAUUCAUUUUUUAAAAGAGUUUUAUUUGCAAUUUAAAUAAAAUGGCAUGCUUCCUUCA